UCUCCCCUCAGCUCAGCCAGGUAGAGCGUGAGACACUUCAUCUCAGGGACUUGGGUUCGAUUCCCCACCAUGGGCGAA